rnacentral:rRNA from 1 species
CACGUAGGGGGCGAGCGUUGUCCGGAUUUAUUGGGCGUAAAGAGCUCGUAGGCGGUUCGAUAAGUCGGGUGUGAAAACUCUGGGCUCAACUCAGAGACGCCACCCGAUACUGUUGUGACUUGAGUCCGGUAGGGGAGUAUGGAAUUCCCGGUGUAGCGGUGAAAUGCGCAGAUAUCAGGAGGAACACCGAUGGCGAAGGCAGUUCUCUGGGCCGUAACUGACGCUGAGGAGCGAAAGCGUGGGGAGCGAACAGG